rnacentral:rRNA from 1 species
GAAACAUCUUAGUACCCGGAGGAAGAGAAAGAAAAAUCGAUUCCCUGAGUAGCGGCGAGCGAAACGGGAAGAGCCCAAACCAACAAGCUUGCUUGUUGGGGUUGUAGGACACUCUAUACGGAGUUACAAAAGAACAUGUUAGACGAAUCAUCUGGAAAGAUGAAUCAAAGAAGGUAAUAAUCCUGUAGUCGAAAACAUAUUCUCUCUUGAGUGGAUCCUGAGUACGACGGAGCACGUGAAAUUCCGUCGGAAUCUGGGAGGACCAUCUCCUAAGGCUAAAUACUCUCUAGUGACCGAUAGUGAACCAGUACCGUGAGGGAAAGGUGAAAAGUACCCCGGAAGGGGAGUGAAAGAGAACUUGAAACCGUGUGCUUACAAGUAGUCAGAGCCCGUUAAUGGGUGAUGGCGUGCCUUUUGUAGAAUGAACCGGCGAGUUACGAUCUGAUGCAAGGUUAAGCAGCAAAUGUGGAGCCGCAGCGAAAGCGAGUCUGAAUAGGGCGUUGAGUAUUUGGUCGU